GACGGAGGAUGCAAGCGUUAUCCGGAAUGAUUGGGCGUAAAGCGUGCGCAGGCGGUUUUGUAAGUCUGACGUGAAAUCCCCGGGCUCAACCUGGGAAUUGCGUUGGAGACUGCAAGGCUGGAGUCUGGCAGAGGGGGGUAGAAUUCCACGUGUAGCAGUGAAAUGCGUAGAGAUGUGGAGGAACACCGAUGGCGAAGGCAGCCCCCUGGGUCAAGACUGACGCUCGUGCACGAAAGCGUGGGGAGCAAACAGG
rnacentral:rRNA from 1 species